UGAACGAGAAGAGGAAACUGGGAAAGAGAUUGGUGACUAGUGUCCCCCAGCGGCUAGGAGGGGAACUGCUAGGACCUGCAACACUGCCCUCUCCGUGGCCUGGUGUCUCCCGGGUAAACUCUGCAUCCAACCUGGAGCUUGAACCCAUGACCACAGAUCAAGGGGCACAUGCCCUACCAACUAAGCCAUCCAGGAGCCCCCACAAUUCUUUUCAACAAAUGUUUAUGGAGCAUCUUUUGCAAGCCAUCCCUAAAAGGGACACUGGAGCUACAGAAUGCAAUUAGCCAAACCUUCUGCCUGCAGGAAGCUCACUGUCUCAGAGGAGAGAGAAACAGCGAAACCCCGCAAUCACGGGACCCCAGGAAAAGUGCUGGUUGAGCCAGCCACCCUUUGUGUGCUCCGGGAAUAGGACAGAGCUCUGGGGUCAGGGAAGACUUCUGGGGUGAGAUCACCCUUGGCUGAGUUUUGGAGAAUGUUAAAAUUAGCUCCACGAAGCAGUGGGAAUAGCUGGAGGGGAGGCUUGGAGGUGUGAAGCAGCAUGAUGUACUGUCUCCAAGAGCCAGGUCCUGGUGGCUGUAGUGAAGACACCUUCAGAGAAAAGCCCAUGGGGCUCCGGGGCUGAGCUGAAUUUGAUCUGGUGGCUGAAAGUUACAGCCGAAGCCUUCCUACUUUGCCUUCCUUUCUGAUCUUCAUGGACUCACCUUAACUCUCUCUCCUUGUUCUUAGGAGUUUCCUUAACCCCCUCUUCUUAAGGUCUCGCCUAACCUCUUCCUCUCUUCCCACAAAGGCCUCUUCUGUUUCCUCUUCCUCCCCAUCACUCACUGCUGACACCCUUCCCUCCAAGGCCUCCUUACCACCACCCUCCCUCCGCCGCCGUGCACAACACUGACUCAUGGAUAUUAAACCUUCAGGCCACCAUUUGGACAGCAUAACCACUUUAUACGGCGUGAAGAAUGCCAGGGUACAAAUUGUGUGCACAGAUGCAAAUUACUGGUAGCCUGGUUGAGAGUCUGUUUAUCCGCAUAAAUGUCUUGGCUCCUCCCUGCACGAGAGUCCGGGCACCUCGCCUGACUGCCCGCCCCCCACCUUCCUUACGUGCCUCUAACUUGAUUUGAAAAAGUUCCUUUAAAAAAGUU